UGAGUACGAGAUGCUACGGCAUCGAAGCAGUCUAUGUCAUACUUCCAAGAAAAGCUUGCACUGUCAUAAACAAAGAAUGCCUGUACCAUAACCGACACAGGUGGGUAGGUAGAGUAUACUAAGGGGCGCGAGAUAACUCUCUCUAAGGAACUCGGCAAAAUGACUCCGUAACUUCGGGAGAAGGAGUGCCUUAUUUCUAAGGUUGCAAUAACAAGAUCCAAGCAACUGUUUACCAAAAACACAGGUCUCCGCUAAGUCGUAAGACGAUGUAUGGGGGCUGACGCCUGCCCAGUGCCAGAAGGUUAAAGAAGUUGGUUAGCAUUAGCGAAGCUGAUAACUGAAGCCCUGGUGAACGGCGGCCGUAACAAUAACGGUCCUAAGGUAGCGAAAUUCCUUGUCGGGUAAGUUCCGACCCGCACGAAAGGCGUAAUGAUUUGGAUACUGUCUCGGAGAGGGGCUCGGUGAAAUAGACUUGUCUGUGAAGAUGCGGACUACCUGCACCUGGACAGAAAGACCCUAUGAAGCUUUACUGUAACUUGAGAUUGAAAUUGGACUUUAUUUGCGCAGUAUAGGUGGGAGGCGUUGAGAAUAAUCUUGCGGGAUUGUUGGAGCCAUCAGUGAGAUACCACUCUUGUAAUGUUAGAUUUCUAACUUUGUAUCAUUAUCUGGUCAAAGAACAGUUUCAGGCGGGCAGUUUGACUGGGGCGGUCGCCUCCCAAAGGGUAACGGAGGCGCACAAAGGUUUCCUCUGAACGGGUAGAAAUCGUAUCUAGAGUGUAAAGGCAUAAGGAAGCUUGACUGUGAGACCUACAAGUCGAGCAGGGACGAAAGUCGGUCUUAGUGAUCUGACGGUGCUGAGUGGAAAGGCCGUCACUCAACGGAUAAAAGUUACUCUAAGGAUAACAGGCUGAUCUCCCCCAAGAGUUCACAUCGACGGGGAGGUUUGGCACCUCGAUGUCGGCUCAUCGCAUCCUGGGGCGGUAGUCCGUCCCAAGGGUUGGGCUGUUCGCCCAUGUAAGCGGUACGCGAGCUGGGUUCAGAACGUCGUGAGACAGUUCGGUCCAUAUCCGGUGUAGGCGUUAGAAUAUUGAGAGGAGCCUUCUCUAGUACGAGAGGACCGAGAAGGACAUACCUCUGGUGUACCAGUUAUCGUGCCAACGGUAAACGCUGGGUAGCUAUGUAUGGAGUGGAUAACCGCUGAAAGCAUCUAAGUGGGAAGCCCACCUCAAGAUAAGUAUUCUCACC
rnacentral:rRNA from 1 species